CAUGAAGACUGUAACAUAAGACUUUGGUUGUUCCCACAAUAACGGACAUUAAUGAAAGGAUCCUAACAGAAGAAGCUGCAGGGGGAAAAACAACCAAAGCGGUUACAUCAGAUCCCACCAAAGGCAGCGUGGUCAGCUGAAUUUAGUCAUACAUUAGUCGUACCACAGGACACACAAGAUGGGAGAGAGAGCAACGGGACCACCACCACCACCACCAACCACCGGUAGCCUUCAGCACGUGGGGACCCGGGGUGAUCAUCCACAUUCCAGCUUGUGGGCUGGAACUCCUACUCGUUAUCUGGCGCCAUGUUUUCACUUUCUGAUACCUUUAAAAAGCACCUUAAUUAUACCAGCACAUUAAUUUCAAUAAAGUGGUUUUGUAUUUUUUUUAUAACGCAUUUAAGGGUAAAAAUGUUUUUCAAGUUGAAUCCACCCCCCCCAAUUAUAAAUAACAAUAGCGAAAUGAUGAUGAAGUGGCGUUAUGAGAAAUCUUAUGUUCUUGAUGGUUCUUAAAACGCAGACUCCCAUUGUAGCUAAAUAUUGACGUAGUUAUUCCAGCAAAAAGGCUGAAAUAAACAAAUACUACAUUUAAUAAACAGAAAAUUCUUUUUUUUUAAA
ensembl:lncRNA